rnacentral:piRNA from 1 species
GGCUUUCUCAGUAUGACCAUUUGUCCA